rnacentral:lncRNA from 1 species
AAUGCUGCAGUGAUGGAGGAUGAUGAAGAUCUGGAGACUCUGGGAGAGAAACUGUUUGAUCUGAUAUAUCCUAAAUACACUGAGAUGACACCUAAACUUACAGGUGAUACCGAAUCUAUCUGUCUAUAAUAUUGUGAUGAUUCUAGUUGAACUGUAGCUGUGUGAUGUUUGCAGGUAUGCUGUUGGAGUUGAAAGCCUGCUUGUGUUGUGUCUCAGAUGUUGUAUGAUGAAGGUCUGCUGAAUAAAGCACUGGCCGCUCUCACAUCACCUGACGACAGUGAACCCGUGUCUCACACUGAUGACGCGGCGUCUGUGUCCUCGACUCUCUGGGGGACCGCUGUAUGACCUCACUGACCUCUACAACACUGGACACACACAGAAAAUAACAGCUCAGGCAGAGUGCCGAGGGGACAGAAGUGAGCGACGGCUCUGACAGAGAGGAAGUGGAAUCCAUUGGCAAGACGCUUUUCAAUGUUGUGCAUCAGUUAGACCCCACCCACUGCGCUGACAUCACCGGUGAGUUACUCAGCUCAGCUGAAUACUGACUUCUGAACUUGAGAUGUGUAUGUGCACACUGUGUGAUAUGUUAAAUGUGUGAACAUUAGGAAUGCUGAAACAGAUUCUGUCCGAACGGAGCAUCCUGGAAGUUGCAGUUCAGAGAGCAAAAAGUGCACUGGUACUUUAACCAAAUGUACACACACUCCCAAGGCUUUAUUGUAAUU